rnacentral:rRNA from 1 species
AGGACGAACGCUGGCGGCGCGCCUAAAACAUGCAAGUCGAACGAGAAGCCCGGGCUUGCCCGGGUGGACAGUGGCGAACGGGUGAGUAACACGUGAGGAACCUGCCCCGAAGACCGGGACAACACCGGGAAACCGGUGCUAAUACCGGAUGCCUUCACCGGAUCGCAUGGUCUGGUGAAGAAAUGGAUUCCGCUUCGGGAUGGCCUCGCGGCCUAUCAGCUUGUUGGUGAGGUAACGGCCCACCAAGGCAACGACGGGUAGCUGGUCUGAGAGGAUGUCCAGCCACACUGGGACUGAGACACGGCCCAGACUCCUACGGGAGGCAGCAGUUAGGAAUCUUGCGCAAUGGACGAAAAGUCUGACGCAGCGACGCCGCGUGCGGGAUGAAUGCCUUCGGGUUGUAAACCGCUUUCAGCAGGGACGAAAUUGACGGUACCUGCAGAAGAAGCCCCGGCCAACUACGCGCCAGCAGCCGC